GCAAAGCGCAAGANGGCUGCACCCGUUCCCAUUCCGAACACGGCCGUGAAACGCCCCAGCGCCGAUGGUACUUCGUCUUAAGACGCGGGAGAGUAGGUCGCUGCC
rnacentral:rRNA from 1 species